rnacentral:rRNA from 1 species
CAGUAGCCGCGGUAAUACGUAGGUGGCAAGCGUUGUCCGGAAUUAUUGGGCGUAAAGGGCUCGCAGGCGGUUUCUUAAGUCUGAUGUGAAAGCCCCCGGCUCAACCGGGGGGGGUCAUUGGAAACUGGGAAACUUGAGUGCAGAAGAGGAGAGUGGAAUUCCACGUGUAGCGGUGAAAUGCGUAGAGAUGUGGAGGAACACCAGUGGCGAAGGCGACUCUCUGGUCUGUAACUGACGCUGAGGGGCGAAAGCGUGGGGAGCGAACAGGAUUAGAUACCCCCGUAGUCCCUGUCUCUUAUAC